ensembl:lncRNA
GAAGAACAAUUGGUGUGUCCACUACAAAUGCUGGGUCCACAUCAUCCAGCAGUUCUGCUCCAACAGGAGGGUCAACAACAAUCGGUGGGUCAUCAACAGCUGGAGGUUCAACCACAAGUCGUGGGCCAAUGACAACUGUAGCAUCAAUGACACCUGGUGGGUCAACAAGUACUAUUGGAUCCAGUACAAAUGCUGGGUCAACAACAACUGGCAGUUCUGCUGCAACAGGAGGAUCAACAACAAUUGGUGGGUCCACAACACCUGGAGGUUCAAGCACAAGUCGUGGGUCAACGACAACUGGAGCAUCAGUGUCACCUGGUGGGUCAACAACAACUAGAGGUUCAACCACAAGUCGUGGGCCAAUGACAACUGUAGCAUCAAUGACACCUGGUGGGUCAACAACAACUGGCAGUUCUGCUGCAACAGGAGGGUCAACAGCAAUCGGUCUGUCCACAACAGUUGGAGGUUCAAGCACAAGUCAUGACAACAGCUGUGUCCUUUGGUCAACUGAGGGUCACCACAGCUGGUCCUUUGGUUCCAACUGAUGGAUCAGUUACAUCUUUAGGAACAACUAGUCCUGGUGGAUCAGAUGGUGCAGUUACCACAACUCCCCCACCAGUUUUUGUUCUUGGAGCCACCCUGGAAGAACCAUUUGUUGAAGAAUUCAAUAAUCCAAGCAGUGUACAAUACAGAAAUCUUGAAAUACAAAUUGUAACAGUGUGUGACAUCAUCUACAGAGCAAGAUAUGGGUUUCUUUUCAUCCGCACUUUUGUCAUUAGAUUUCGUCGUGUUGUAGCAAGGACACGCAUGGAAACCACUCAAGCAGAUAUCGGACUCGAGUUCAACAAUACAGCUUCACCAAAUCAAAUCCCACAGGCUAAUAAUGUUGUAAAGACUUUACAACUUGCCUUGAUGAACCCAAACAACACCUUCAACCUCACUCUUGAUACAAACUCCAUUGAGAUCAUACGAACUCCAAAUAUGACAUCAAGUUCAACUACAGCUACUGCUGCAUCGACUACUGCUGUAACAUCAGUUGCUACAACUAAUAUGCAACUCAUAAAACGGAGGUUGACUUUCAGAUCUGCUGGAGAAACAUUUACAAGCGACUUGCUGAAUCCAGCAUCUUUAGCAUUUAUAAAUCGAGCUGCAAUGAUAAAGUCGAUGCUCGAACCUUUCUACCAAAAAGCAUUCUCUUCAUUCAGAUCAUUGACAGUGAUUUCAUUCAGAAAUGGAUCAAUCAUCAACACAAUGGACCUUGGAUUUGCAUCCACCUCUGUUCCUAAUGACACUCAGAUUGCAGAUGUUCUGGCUGGAGCAGCUUCAAAUAUCACAGCCUUCAACAUUGACACCACCUCCAUUAUUGUGGAUGGCAUACAGGUCUCAAGUGGAGUAAGCCACAAGAUCAGUUUCAUCACUGCGUCCUUCCUUGUGCUGCUGUCAUGGCUACUGUCAAGCCAGCAAUUGCUUAUGUGCUGAUGUCCCUGUGGAACCCCAUGAGAAAGUAACUGCUAUCAAUGAUAUGAAAAAUGAUUUUCUUGUCAAUAAAAAUUACACUUGUGAGAAUUUCAAUUUCUAAAUGACUUGGGAAAAACUGUCACUUAUUACAUUUAAACUUGGGGUAACCUGACACAUAAAUGAAAGGGAAUUUCUAUUCAGUCUUGACUGCACACACCUUGAUCCAAUGCAACCCUCCAGGUCCAUUCAUCAUGUGGCCAACUUCAAGCACAUGGUAAUAACUUCUAAAAUAAUUACUGUAAACGAAAUAGACUUAGGGCAAUUAAACCAUAUUACAUUGAUGACCCCAUGCAUAAUAUUUUCUGUACAUGUUAACAUUUAAAUGAUCGACUACCAUGUGCUAUAAUCAUAUUUAGAACCAAUGUGUAUUUCACUCAACAUGCCUAAAUCCUACUGUAAUCAAAAUUGUAGAUGUUUGGCAAGCUUAAAUUGUUCCCUCAAUCCAAAUUGCCUAAAAAAUAUAUUCAGACCAUUGAGGAAUUUGACUUCAGAAUGAAGUCUUUAAGAUCAGUUGCUUAGAUAGUAAAGUUGACAAUCUUACUUAUAUAAAAUGUAAUGGUGUGCUCAUUGUUCUAACCCUAACUCAGAUAUAUGCUGAAGGUUGUGUCACGCAUUAAUGCCUUGUAUCAGAAGAAUAAUGUCUUGUAUAAUUAUCCAUUCACAGUCCUUAUUAACUUGUAUUUCUAUUAUAUAUAUGAGUAUUCUGAGAGCUUACCUUUAUUUCUUUUUUUGUGUAUUUUUUUGUGUAUUUUCUUCCUAAUAUACAUACGAAUAUGAAGAUGACAAAAAAUCUGUUUAUGCUGUAACAUUUUACAAUCUUAAUGUGGUGAUGCACAGCAUUUUGAAGAUAAGGUAUGUGGAGGAAAAAAAUGUUUUCUAUUAAAGGCAUAUGUAUAAACUACCAAACCUUCUGCAGUCCCUCAUUUCCUAAUUUUAAUCUUACACUA